GUAGGUGAACCUGCGGAAGGAUCAUUAACACGUUUCGUUCCAAACGUUUAUGACCCCCCUAUUUCUCGUGCACAAACAACAACAAAAACCCACCUGCCUUACCAAGCUGGCCUCUCUUCGGACGCGGGCUCUGCGUCGUGUUCUUACACGGCGAGUUCAUCCCGAACAAGAAGGGGGACACUGGCUUAGUUUGCGUAGGUACCACCCAACCCUUGAACCUAAUUGCUCUGAAACCCCUUUUCUUAGUUUUGCUUGCUCGUAAAGAGUGGGCGGAACUGGAAAAACAAAAAAACAAACAACAACUCUUAACAACGGAUAUCUUGGUUCUC
rnacentral:misc_RNA from 1 species